GACGAACGCUGGCGGCGUGCUUAACACAUGCAAGUCGAACGAAGUGGCGGACGGGUGAGUAACGCGUAAUCAACCUGCCCUUCAAAGGGGGACAACAGUUGGAAACGACUGCUAAUACCCCAUACUGAAGGAGGGGAUUGCGGCGGAUUAGCUAGUUGGAGGGGUAACGGCCAACCAAGGCGAUGUUCAGUAGCCGGUCCGGGAGUAGGAACGGCCACAUUGGGACUGAGAAACGGCCCAGACUCCUACGGGAGGCAGCAGUGGGGAAUCUUCCGCAAUGGACGAAAGUCUGACGGAGCAACGCCGCGUGAGUGAUGACGGCCUUCGGGUUGUAAAGCUCUGUUAAUCGGGACGCGGUACCGGAAUAGAAAGCCACGGCUAACUACGUGCCAGCAGCCGCGGUAAUUC
rnacentral:rRNA from 1 species